AGAUCAUGUUGAGAGCAACUUCUAAGCAAUCCCUUAUAUCUCUCACAUGCUUCAUACAAUGAUUCCUCAACCUCUUGUUGAAAGUUAGCUAUCUUCUUUUUGAGCUU